UACGUAGGGUGCAAGCGUUGUCCGGAAUUACUGGGCGUAAAGAGCUCGUAGGCGGUCUGUCGCGUCGGCUGUGAAAUCCCGAGGCUCAACCUCGGGUCUGCAGUCGAUACGGGCAAACUAGAGUAUUGCAGGGGAGACUGGAAUUCCUGGUGUAGCGGUGAAAUGCGCAGAUAUCAGGAGGAACACCGGUGGCGAAGGCGGAUCUCUGGGCCGAUACUGACGCUGAGGAGCGAAAGCGUGGGGAGCGAACAGG
rnacentral:rRNA from 1 species